rnacentral:rRNA from 1 species
CCUACGGGAGGCAGCAGUAGGNAUUUUCCGCAAUGGACGAAANUNUGACGGAGCAACGCCCGCGUGAGUGAAGAAGGUUUUCGGAUCGUAAAACUCUGUUGUGAGGGAAGAACAAGUACCAACUAGCUAUUGGUACCUUGACGGUACCUCACCAGAAAGCCACGGCUAACUACGUGCCAGCAGCCGCGGUAAUACGUAGGUGGCAAGCGUUGUCCGGAAUUAUUGGGCGUAAAGCGCGCGCAGGCGGUCCUUUAAGUCUGAUGUGAAAGCCCACGGCUCAACCGUGGAGGGUCAUUGGAAACUGGGGGACUUGAGUGCAGAAGAGGAAAGUGGAAUUCCACGUGUAGCGGUGAAAUGCGUAGAGAUGUGGAGGAACACCAGUGGCGAAGGCGACUUUCUGGUCUGUAACUGACGCUGAGGCGCGAAAGCGUGGGGAGCAAACAGGAUUAGAUACCCUGGUAGUCCACGCCGUAAACGAUGAGUGCUAAGUGUUAGGGGGUUUCCGCCCCUUAGUGCUGCAGCUAACGCAUUAAGCACUCCGCCUGGGGAGUACGGCCGCAAGGCUGAAACUCAAAUGAAUUGACGGGG